rnacentral:rRNA from 1 species
AUGGCGUCCAAGGCCUGCAUCCUGAUCCUGCUCCUCGUUGCAGCUCUUCUCCAUACAGGUCAUGCUAGUGGCGACGCCGGGCCGUGCCAACUGGAGGACAUCCGCGUCUCGUCGGUGUUGACGGGGCGGCGGGUCCUGAAUGUGCCGGAGUACAGCGUGACGGUGGAGAACACGUGCUCGUGCGCGCAGGCGGGCGUGGUGAUGUACUGCAACCUCGGCGAGGUGAAAGCGGUGAUCUCGGACACGACCAAGCUCCGCCUGCUGAGCCGGAAGCAAGGGCACUGCCUCAUCAACAGCGGCUGGCCGAUCUUCAACGGCAAGCCCAUAAUGUUCACCUACGCCGCCAAGACGCAGCUCGACUUCACCCUCGAUAACGCCUCGCCGGAGUGCCUGGUGUGA